GAUGAACGCUAGCGGGAGGCUUAAUACAUGCAAGUCGAACGGUAACAUUGGAGCUUGCUCCAGAUGACGAGUGGCGCACGGGUGAGUAACGCGUACACGACCUACCUCAAAGGAGGGGGAUAGCCUCGGGGAACUGAGAAUAACUACCCCAUGUGGUUAACUUUACUAAAACGGUUAAUUAAAGGUUUCGGCCGCUUUGAGAUGGGUGUGCGUACUAUUAGAUAGUUGGUGAGGUAACGGCUCACCAAGUCGACGAUAGUUAGGGGGCGUGAGAGCGUGAUCCCCCACACGGGUACUGAGACACGGACCCG
rnacentral:rRNA from 1 species